UACAGAGGCCCCGAGCGUUAGUCGGAAUUACUGGGCUUAAAGGGUGCGUAGGCGGACUUCUAAGUGUCGCGUGAAAGCCCACGGCUUAACCGUGGAACCGCGCGGCAAACUGGGAGUCUUGAGGAACGUAUAGGCGGGUGGAACGAUAGGUGGAGCGGUGGAAUGCGUAGAUAUCUGGAGGAACACCGGUGGCGAAGGCGGCAUCCUGGACCGAGAUUGACGCUGAGGCGCGAAAGCCAGGGGAGCAAACGGG
rnacentral:rRNA from 1 species